rnacentral:lncRNA from 1 species
UUUUAUUUUUUACCUUUAUUUUAUUAGGCAAGUGAGUUAAGAACAAAUUCUUAUUUACAAUGACGGUCUAGGAACAGUGGGUUAACUGCCGUGUUCAGAGGUACAACGACAGAUUUUUACCUUGUCAGCUUGGGGAUUAGAUCUUGCAACCUUUCAGAUACUAGUCCAACGCUCUAACCACUAGGCUACCUGCUCUAACCACUAGGCUACCUGCUCUAACCACUAGGCUACCUGCUCUAACCACUAGGCUACCUGCUCUAACCACUAGGCUACAUGUCUCUAACCACUAGGCUACCUGCUCUAACCACUAGGCUACCUGCUCUAACCACUAGGCUACCUGCUCUAACCACUAGGCUACCUGCUCUAACCACUAGGCUACCUGGAUCUAACCACUAGGCUACCUGCUCUAACCACUAGGCUACCUGGCUCUAACCACUAGGCUACCUGCCGCCCCAUAUAUGAGAGGAGAUGGGAGGAGGAUAAUUGUACAAUACAGGUACCAUUCACUAAUGUCAUUACUUAUACCCGGAAAAUAUGAGGGGUAAGUGGAGAUAAUAUGAGAGGUAGGUGGAGAUAAUAUGAGAGGUAGGUGGAGAUAAUAUGAGAGGUAGGUGGAGAUAAUAUGAGGGGUAGGUAGAGAUAAUAUGAGGGGUAGGUAGAGAUAAUAUGAGGGGUAGGUAGAGAUAAUAUGAGGGGUAGGUAGAGAUAAUAUGAGGGGUAGGUAGAGAUAAUAUGAGGGGUAGGUAGAGAUAAUAUGAGGGGUAGGUGGAGAUAUUAUGUGGGGUAGGUAGAGAUAAUAUGAAAGUGUAAUUUCAUAGCAUGAAUGAUUUAAUCUCCCAAAGCCUGAUUUUUCCUGACAGUUGGCUCCGAUGUCUCGCUCCAUUAUGCAUGUCAUUUUGAUUCCUCCAACUGGGUCGCUGCUCGGCUCUAUCAGACCAAAGUGUUUGAAAUUGUCAGCAAGAGAAAGGCGUUGGUUCUCUCUGGAUAUCAACCAUCAGC